GAUCUACUCCUUCCGUUCCGAAUUACUUAGUCUUAGAUUUAUCUAGAUACGGAUAUAUCUAGCACUAAAAUGAAUCUAGAUAAAUCCAUAUCUAGAUAAAUCCAAGACAAGUAAUUUAGAACAGAGAAAGUAACUA
rfam:Triticum aestivum genome assembly, contig: Triticum_aestivum_CS42_TGACv1_scaffold_097051_2AL